ACUGCUCAGUAACACGUAGACAACCUACCCUCAGCACGGGGAUAAACCCGGGAAACUGGGUAUAAUACCCGAUAGUUCUGGUUUGCUGGAAUGCUUUCAGGACGAAAGCUCCGGCGACUGAGGAUGGGUCUGCGGCCUAUCAGGUAGUAGUGGGUGUAAUGUACCUACUAGCCUACGACGGGUACGGGUCGUGAGAGCGAGAGCCCGGAGAUGGAUUCUGAGACACGAAUCCAGGCCCUACGGGGUGCAGCAGGCGCGAAAACUUUACAAUGCUGGCAACAGCGAUAAGGGGACCUCGAGUGCCAGGAUACAAUCUUGGCUGUCGUAAUGCCUAAAAAGCAUUGCAUAGCAAGGGCCGGGCAAGACCGGUGCCAGCCGCCGCGGUAACACCGGCGGCUCGAGUGGUAACCGCUAUUAUUGGGUCUAAAGGGUCUGUAGCCGGCCGGAUAAGUCUCUUGGGAAAUCCAGCUGCUCAACAGUUGGGCUUUCAGGAGAUACUGUUCGGCUCGAGGCCGGGAGAGGUGAGAGGUACUUCAGGGGUAGGGGUGAAAUCUUGUAAUCCUUGAAGGGCCACCAGUGGCGAAGGCGUCUCACCAGAACGGACCUGACGGCAAGGGACGAAAGCUAGGGGCACGAACCGGAUUAGAUACCCGGGUAGUCCUAGCCGUAAACGAUACUCGCUAGGUGUCAGCCACGGUGCGACCGUGGUUGGUGCCGUAGGGAAGCCGUGAAGCGAGCCACCUGGGAAGUACGGCCGCAAGGCUGAAACUUAAAGGAAUUGGCGGGGGAG
rnacentral:rRNA from 1 species